GACGAACGCUGGCGGCGUGCUUAACACAUGCCAGUCGAACGGAAAGGCCCUGCUUGCAGGGUACUCGAGUGGCGAACGGGUGAGUAACACGUGGGUGAUCUGCCCUGCACUUCGGGAUAAGCCUGGGAAACUGGGUCUAAUACCGGAUAGGAGCCAUUUUUAGUGUGAUGGUUGGAAAGUUUUUUCGGUGUAGGAUGAGCUCGCGGCCUAUCAGCUUGUUGGUGGGGUAAUGGCCUACCAAGGCGGCGACGGGUAGCCGGCCUGAGAGGGUGGCCGGCCACAUUGGGACUGAGAUACGGCCCAGACUCCUACGGGAGGCAGCAGUGGGGAAUAUUGCACAAUGGGCGCAAGCCUGAUGCAGCGACGCCGCGUGGGGGAUGACGGCCUUCGGGUUGUAAACUCCUUUCGCUAGGGACGAAGCUUUUUGUGACGGUACCUAGAUAAGAAGCACCGGCAAACUACGU
rnacentral:rRNA from 1 species